GCUACCUGCCGCUCAAACGUCACAGUUUGCUUCGGAAUUUAUGGCCCAAACAGGGCCCUAAGUUCGGUUUAGUGUGCCAUUGUUCUGGUCGGUCCUCCUCACAUCUCCCAUGACAAUUGGCAAAACAAGAACGCCGCCAAAUGGCAAACCAGUCCGUCAGACCGUCGAAUGCCGUUGAGGAUGAGGUUGAGGAUGAGGAUAGGGAGGCUGGGACAGGAGGAGUUGUGUCCUGUCCUGCCAAUGCCCCAACGCAGCACCAGCCGAGGUCCCAGCCACUUGACCAGGCGAAAAACGAGCGGCCAACUGGUUGCAACUGGCAACUUUGCUGCCAAGCAUGCGCCAAAGAAUUUCGCCAGCGAUUUUCGGAAUGUCUACAAUGCCCAGAGUGUGCAAGAAAAACAUCAACAAAAAAUCGCGAAAGAAUGAAAACAAAAACACGGGAGGACUGGUCUGCCAAAAGGCGCGAUGAGUGGGACAUGCCCAAAUUCUGACAUAUUCUGGACCUCUGCGAUAAAAUGGUACGUUAGUCGUCAGAUCCGAGAUCUCAGUUUAAGGGUAAUUUGCAAGAAAAGUCAAAGACGAAGGCCACUAUUACGUACUCUAUUGAUAUAUUAUUAUUAAAAAGGGGCUUUGCAAUAAGCAUUUAAUAGUAACCUACAUCUAGUUUCAACGGUUGCCCGACAAUGCUACCUUCUCAAAACUCAACUCAAAUAUUGUCUUUCAACAUCCGCAGCUAACUAAUUUCAAUUCCAAACACUAUCUUAAUUACCCAAAGAUUCCCAUCAGUCGAAAAUGGGAAUGGGUUCCUAACUGUUUGCUUUACCAUACCCAUUUGAACGGUAUUCGGAAAGAUAAUGUGCUGCCAUCAUGGGCUCCGUAAGAACAUUUUCGGUUUGCUAUCUGGAACUGAUCAGCGGGCCACACUUGAGGGAUUAUAGUCGGUCAGAGGCAAGGACGUGUCUCCAAAUGGAAUGGAAGGAGAUGGGAUGGGAUGUGGAGGUGACUGCUGUUGUGACAGCGAAGCGUCCCUCGCUAGGCUCUUUGUUGUCGGGGAAUAAAUCAACGGAGACCCGGCUCGCAACUCGAAACGCAACUGAGCCGCAGUCCCAGGUAGCCGGAACGAGAUGAGACUUCGAACGUCCAGCUUUGAGCUCAAUUAGUGCAGUCGCCUGGGCUCUUUGUGUGCUGUUGCAUUCUUUGAAUGCCGAGGUGGCAUUUGAUUGAUAAUUUCGUUACGCCUCGAACAUGGCCCACAAAAAACCAAGGAAAGCAAGACACACGCGGAACUUGGAAAACCGAAAAUAAAAAUAUAUUGAAUUUUAUAAGUGUGGGUUCCAGAGAGCCGAGAUUUAUGACAAGUUCAUGCUGCCCCUCCGAUCGUUAUAAGGCAAUAAUCAGCUCUUUGUCGCCGAUUCGCUGGAACGCCAAACACCACAAGAUGCUUAGUGCCCGCAUCUGAUUUUCGGAUUAGGAACGACAAUAAGACAAUUUGGAAAUGAAAACCAUUUCCCUAACGGGAUUUACUACAUGAUGCUCCAAAGUCGACCUG
ensembl:ncRNA lncRNA:CR45956 long non-coding RNA:CR45956